UCCGCGACUAGGAAGGCAGGGCUCCAAACUGAAUACGCUUGUUUUUCUAUCCGCUUUUCUCUCCGCUGUAAAAGUUUUUCUCUCCCCGGAAAUUCCGAGGCUCCUGGAACGUCAGUGGCCAAUAGGGGUGGAGCAGGGGCGGGGCUUGUGCCGAGGCGGGAAGAUAGCCCAGUCAGUGAGUGAGUGAGUGGAGAAAUUGGGUGGUUGCUGGAAGGUGGUUUUUUGAGAUCUUUGAAGUCCCACGUUACGUGGGCUUAAAUAAGCCAGCAGUGCUGUGCAUGGCCACAGAGUUGGGAUGCUGCACAGAAGCACUGGCCUGCAAACAGAGGCAGUCCCCGGAUCCCAUCCCAUCCGCCCCCCGCGAAAAUGGCCCCGUUCCAUCUCCGAGCCGCGUGGUCUGAGGGCUGCGCCGACCUGCUGCGCCUCAUAAAGGAGCUUGCUAGAUAUGAAGAAAUGGAGGAUCAAGUAGUACUGACUGGGAAAGAUCUGCUUGCUUGAGGAUGGCUUUGGAGAACACCCUUUCUACCACUGUCUUGUUGCAGAAGUACCAAAAGUUUGUCAUCUCUUUGCCAUUCACAAAUACAGCCCCAAUAUUGCUUUUGGGAGAAAGUAAUGCAAGCAUUCAAAUAGUGCUUGAAUGUGUUCUAUUUUAAUGAUUCUUUUUUUAUAUGCAUGUACUAAGAGUCUCCUUGGAAUUUGGGAAUGCAUACUUUCCAGUAAGCAGACAUGGCUCUUAUUUAUGGCUACAUGGAAAGGAAGAAUAUUGUUGGUUUUCAUACCAAGGUUUUAUUUUGAAUAUCUCAUUAUCAGACUUCUUCCUCUGCUCCUAAAAUAUUUGAAUAUAAUGUUCACAUUAACAUUGUGUGCAUUUUGAUAUGUAAAUAGUAUGUAAAUAAAAUACAGUUUAUUGUUUAACAAAUUUUAUUUUAUGACAUUAUUUAAUUUCUUAAUUAAUUUCUUGUGUAAAUAGUAUGUAAAUAAAAUAGUUUAUUGUUUAACCAA